rnacentral:lncRNA from 1 species
GUGUAUUAGGGACUCCUUUGCAUGAGUACAAGGUCCCUUUUAGCUUGAUCUAGGCUUAAUACUCUAUUAUAGCAUGAAAUCCCCUAUUUUCCACCCGGAUGAACAGUAACCCGAACUGACAGUGGGUUACUUCAUCCCGAUUUUGAUCCACUUUCAGGACUCCAAAUUUGAUAAAAUUUUUACCUAACAUUCUACACUCAUAGAGGAUUCCAAAGAGAUAACAUGCAUCAUCAUCGGAGGCCGUUUGACCCCCUAAAUAAUUCGCCGAAGUUGGAACUUCGACACAGUUUUUCCGUAGUGCCGGAAAAAUUUGUCGAAAUCCGAUUCUUUCUCUUUUAACCCCCUCUACAACCCUUAUCUGACCCUUCUAGACUACAUCCACCCUUUGUAUAGCCUAAUAUCAUCAAAAGACUAGGUAGGGACGGAUAUUUACCUUUUCUUUUUUGGAAAUCGAGGUCCUUGCGUAGAGGGAAAGGAGAUCUACGUUUUUUUCCUUUAGCUGGAAGUACACCCGGGAUUUCUUUCCCUUUCUUUUUCUUCUUCUUCUUCCUCUUCCUUUCUUCCUUUCCUUUCCUCGUCUUCUUUUUCUUCCUCUCUGUCGCCUGAGAACCCCUCCCUUUCUUCUCUCUGCUUCAUUCCCGUGAGCCACCAACCAACCCAUUUAAAUCACAUCAAAGCACUAUUCACCUUUGUUUAAUAUUAUUAAAUUCCCAUUUUGCCCCUAACACUUCAACAUAUCUACAACUAUGCCAUUAUCUUUUGAUUCCUUCCAAUUUUACCCCUUAUAUCAAUUUUAAAGGACUAUUCUAUCCCUUUUUAUAUAAAAAAAAAAUUUGGGGUUAUUACAGUUGGUAACCACGGUUCCUGGUUGAAAUAAUCUGCUCAUCCAAUAUAUGUUCUAUUUGUUCUCUGCGUGCAUGAAAUUUGGGAGGUGGUGGCUCAACAGCAGAUAAUAGGUUAGGGUGUCUAACAUGGGCAGGUAUAUCAAUAAAGGGGUCAGAAGGCAUGAAUAUUAUCUUUUUGUAUGGGACUAAAUC